rnacentral:rRNA from 1 species
GAUGAACGCUGGCGGCGUGCCUAAUACAUGCAAGUCGAGCGAACGGACGAGAAGCUUGCUUCUCUGAUGUUAGCGGCGGACGGGUGAGUAACACGUGGAUAACCUACCUAUAAGACUGGGAUAACUUCGGGAAACCGGAGCUAAUACCGGAUGAUAUUUUGAACCGCAUGGUUCAAAAGUGAAAGACGGUCUUGCUGUCACUUAUAGAUGGAUCCGCGCUGCAUUAGCUAGUUGGUAAGGUAACGGCUUACCAAGGCAACGAUGCAUAGCCGACCUGAGAGGGUGAUCGGCCACACUGGAACUGAGACACGGUCCAGACUACUACGGGAGGCAGCAGUAGGGAAUCUUCCGCAAUGGGCGAAAGCCUGACGGAGCAACGCCGCGUGAGUGGUGAAGGUCUUCGGAUCGUAAAACUCUGUUAUUAGGGAAGAACAUAUGUGUAAGUAACUGUGCACAUCGUGACGGUACCUAAUCAGAAAGCCACGGCUAACUACGUG